ACGUCAAGUCCUCAUGGCCUUAUGUCCAGGGCUACACACGUGCUACAAUGGUAUAUACAAAGGGUCGCAACCUCGCGAGAAGUGAGCCAAUCCCAUAAAGUAUACCUCAGUUCGGAUAGGAGUCUGCAACUCGACUCCUUGAAGUUGGAAUCGCUAGUAAUCGCGGAUCAGCAUGCCGCGGUGAAUACGUUCCCGGGCCUU
rnacentral:rRNA from 1 species